AUGAUUGCUUAUAUAACAAAUUUUAAAACAUUAUAAAACAGAUGGACAACAGAGGGAAAAGAUCGUCGAAAAAUUAAGACUAGUUUCGUUAGAUGCCAAGAAGUAUAAGAACAUACGAACAAGCUAUGUUCGUUGUCUUAAAAAAAAAUAAAAAAGUUCCAUCUGGCUAUGGAAGAGACGCUGAGCCCAAACCUAGGAAGUUUGUCCAUUUGGAGUGGCUAAAUCAGUAUAUCAGUCACAGGAAUAGCUCAUCAAACCUGCCCAACAACGAAAGCGACGAAGCAGAGAAGCAACGCCGGGACUAACGAGCAAUGGAGAUCUACAAGAGAUACUUUCAAAAAAGACAUCAUUCUUCGUCGAAGAAGCGACCAUGGGUGCUUGAUAUUUGGCUUUUUUUUUUCUUACACUGGAAUACACACUAUAUUCGCCAGUCAAGACAUGAAACAAUAGUUGGAACCUUUGUCAGAAAAUAGUAUUCAAAUGCAUUCAACAUAAAAUAUUGUAGAAGGUUAGAAAAUGAUUUGAUGAAGUAUGAAAAGUGACCAUGGGUGUAUAAAACAUCAAUCACACACAAUUUUGGUCAGAGUGGCAAAUACUGUUUCCGGAUCGAAAUUUGCUGCCAAGAAAAUUAUGCAGAACUUGUACUAACUAUAGUGAAGGAAAAUUAUUUUUGUAGUUGAAUUAAGUUGAACAGAAUUUUUUAAAAAAAGUCAUUAAAUUCAGUGUCCAAAUUCUGUAA